CACUUGCUGAAGGCACAGAGCUUAGCUAAUUGGUGAGCAGUGAUCCCUGCUAUGUGUUGUUCACAGUGGCUAAGUUCAGUGCCUGAGGUGAAAUAGGGGA
ensembl:miRNA MIR27B microRNA 27a